AGCGAACGCUGGCGGCAGGCCUAACACAUGCAAGUCGAACGGAUCCUUCGGGAUUAGUGGCGGACGGGUGAGUAACACGUGGGAACGUGCCCUUUGGUUCGGAACAACUCAGGGAAACUUGAGCUAAUACCGGAUGUGCCCUUCGGGGGAAAGAUUUAUCGCCAUUGGAGCGGCCCGCGUCUGAUUAGCUAGUUGGUGAGGUAAAGGCUCACCAAGGCGACGAUCAGUAGCUGGUCUGAGAGGAUGAUCAGCCACAUUGGGACUGAGACACGGCCCAAACUGCUACGGGAGGCAGCAGUGGGGAAUCUUGCGCAAUGGGCGAAAGCCUGACGCAGCCAUGCCGCGUGAAUGAUGAAGGUCUUAGGAUUGUAAAAUUCUUUCACCGGGGACGAUAAUGACGGUACCCGGAGAAGAAGCCCCGGCUAACUUCGUGCCAGCAGCCGCGGUAACAC
rnacentral:rRNA from 1 species